rnacentral:misc_RNA from 1 species
UCGCGGCUUAUCACCGGCAGUCCCCUUAGAGUGCCCAACUAAAUGAUGGCAACUAAGGGCGAGGGUUGCGCUCGUUGCGGGACUUAACCCAACAUCUCACGACACGAGCUGACGACAGCCAUGCACCACCUGUAUAGGGCCCUUACGGACCUGCCAUCUCUGACAGAUUUCCCUAUAUGUCAAAUCCAGGUAAGGUUCUUCGCGUUGCAUCGAAUUAAUCCGCAUGCUCCGCCGCUUGUGCGGGCCCCUGUCAAUUCCUUUGAGUUUUAACCUUGCGGCCGUACUCCCCAGGCGGGGCACUUAAUGCGUUAGCGACGGCGCGGAUUCCGUUGGUUGGAACCCACACCUAGUGCCCAACGUUUACGGCAUGGACUAC